rnacentral:rRNA from 1 species
UACGAAGGGGGCUAGCGUUGCUCGGAAUCACUGGGCGUAAAGCGCACGUAGGCGGCUUUCUAAGUCAGGGGUGAAAUCCUGGAGCUCAACUCCAGAACUGCCUUUGAUACUGGAGAGCUUGAGUCCGGGAGAGGUGAGUGGAACUCCGAGUGUAGAGGUGAAAUUCGUAGAUAUUGGGAAGAACACCGGUGGCGAAGGCGGCUCACUGGCCCGUAACUGACGCUCAUGCACGACAGCGUGGGGAUCAAACAGG